UAUCCAGGACAGAAAAUGACAUAGUUUGUUGC
rnacentral:piRNA from 1 species